AUUGAACGCUGGCGGCAUGCCUUACACAUGCAAGUCGAACGGCAGCACGGGGCAACCUGGUGGCGAGUGGCGAACGGGUGAGUAAUGCAUCGGAACGUGCCAUUGAGUGGGGGAUAACGUAGCGAAAGUUGCGCUAAUACCGCAUAUUCUGUGAGCAGGAAAGCAGGGGACCGCAAGGCCUUGCGCUCUUUGAGCGGCCGAUGUCAGAUUAGCUAGUUGGUGAGGUAAAGGCUCACCAAGGCGACGACGGGUAGCCGGUCUGAGAGGAUGGUCGGCCACACUGGGACUGAGACACGGCCCAGACUCCUACGGGAGGCAGCAGUUGGGAAUCUUGGGCAAUGGGCGAAAGCCUGACCCAGCGACGCCGCGUGAGGGAAGAAGGCCUUCGGGUCGUAAACCUCUGUCAUGGGGGAAGAAGCAAGUGACGGUACCUCCGGAGGAAGCCACGGCUAACUACGUG
rnacentral:rRNA from 1 species